CUUGGCCACACCUGCAGCCUGUGAAGUUCCCAGGCCAGGGACCGAACUUUCACCAUGGCAGUGACCACACCAGAUCCUUAGCCCACUAGGCCAAUAGGGAACUCCAAGAGCUUUCAGAUCUUGAUGGAGCUAAAGGGGUGCAAGAGUGUGGUGGGUGGGACAGUUUGAGGGGGUCAGGAAACCAGUCAGAGGGUGAGGGUCUGCAGACCAAGCUGAAGCUGAGAAAUGGGUCCCCUGUGCUCCCCACAGGCUCCCAGCCAGGGGCAGUGACUCACCCUGCAGGUGGAUGGCCUCACAUAGGCUCGUACUAUAGUCACACCGGUAGAGACCACCUGUUUGGUUGGCAGCCCUUACCUCCUGGGGGGCGCCAACCACCAGCCUGGCAGGGGGAGAAGACAAGAACACAGCAGCUAAGAGUGUGGGCACUGGAGCCAGACUGCCCCUUGGCAAGUUUGUGUCCCCUGUCUGAGCCUCAGUUUCCUCAUCUGUAAAGUGGAGAUUAAUAACAAUUCUUUUUUAAUUUUUGCUUCCCUUUUUUUUUUUUUUUUUUUAAAAAGGGCUGCACCCACGGCAUAUGGAAGUUCCCACUCUAGGGGUUGAAUCUGAGCUGUUGCCAGCCACAGCAACGCUGGAUCUGAGCCCUGUCUGCGACCUACACCACCGUUCACAGCCAUGCGGGAUCCUUAACCCACUGAGUGAGGCCAGGGAUCGAACCCGUGUCCUCAUGGGUAUGAGUUGGGUUCGUAACCUGCAGAGCCAUGAUGGGAACUCCCAACGACAAUUUAAGUUCUGCAUGGGCGAGAUGUUUGUUAUCUUUAUUCCCAGGUGUGUGCCUGGCUCCUGAGACGUAGUAAUAGAUGCUCAAUAAACAUAUAAACAGACUCACAGGCAUGGAGAGCAGACCUGUGGUUGCCAAGGGGGAGGAGGAGGAGGAGGGAGUGGGAUGGACGUGGAGUUUGGAGUUAAUAGAUGCAAACUAUUACGUAUAGAAUGGAUAAGCCAUGAAGUCCUGCUACACAGUGCAGGGAACUCUAUCCCAUCACCUGUUUCUAAAUUUUUUUAUUAUAGCUGGUUUACAGUGUUCUGUUCAUUUCUGCUGUACAGCAAAGUGGCCCAGUGAUACACAUAGAUAUACACGUUGUUUUUCUCGUAUUAUCUUCCAUCGUGUUCCGCCACACGUGAUU
rnacentral:lncRNA from 1 species